rnacentral:rRNA from 1 species
GCUAAACGCGAAGAACCUUACCCAGACUUGACAUGCAAAGGAAGAUAGCAGAAAUGAUAUUGCCCUUCGGGGUCUUUGCACAGGUGCUGCAUGGCUGUCGUCAGCUCGUGCCGUGAGGUGUUGGGUUAAGUCCCGCAACGAGCGCAACCCUUAUCAUUAGUUGCCAGCACGUGAAGGUGGGAACUCUAAUGAGACUGCCCGGGUUAACUGGGAGGAAGGUGAGGAUGAUGUCAAGUCCGCAUGGCCCUUAUGUCUGGGGCUACACACGUGCUACAAUGGUCGGUACAGAAGGAAGCGAAGCUGUGAAGUGGAGCAAAUCUCAUAAAGCCGGCCUCAGUUCAGAUUGUAGUCUGCAACUCGACUACAUGAAGAUGGAAUUGCUAGUAAUGGCGUGUCAGCAACAACGCCGUGAAUACGUUCCCGGGUCUUGUACACACCG